rnacentral:rRNA from 1 species
AGAGUUUGAUCCUGGCCCAGAACGAACGCUGGCGGCGUGCUUAACACAUGCAAGUCGAACGCGAAAGUAACCUUCGGGUUGCGAGUAGAGUGGCGCACGGGUGAGUAACGCGUAGAUAAUCUACCCUUAUAUUUGGGAUAACUUUGCGAAAGUGGAGCUAAUACCGGAUACACUUAAACAAUUGUGAGAUAGUUUGAGGAAAGGAGACCUCUUCAUGAAAGUUUCCGUAUAAGGAUGAGUCUGCGUACCAUUAGCUAGUAGUAAGGUAAAAGCCUACCUAGGCGAUGAUGGUUAGCGGGUCUGAGAGGAUGAUCCGCCACACUGGAACUGGAAUAUGGACCAGACUCCUAUGGGAGGCAGCAGUGAGGAAUAUUGCGCAAUGGGGGUAAUCCUGACGCAGCGACGCCGCGUGGGUGAAGAAGGUCUUCGGGUCGUAAAGCCCUGUCAGGUGGGAAGAAAUGUUAUAUAGUUAAUAUUUGUAUAGUUUGAUGGUACCACCAAAGGAAGCACCGGUUAAAUCCGUGCCAGUAGUUGUGGUAAUACGGAUGGUGCGAGCGUUGUUCGGAAUCACUGGGCGUAAAGGGCGCGUAGGCGGCCCAGUAAGUCAGAUGUGAAAGUCCAUGGUUUAACCAUGGAAGUGCAUCUGAAACUGCUGAGCUUGAGUAUGGGAGAGGAAAGUGGAAUUCCCGGUGUAGAGGUGAAAUUUGUAGAGAUUGGGAGGAAUACCGGAGGUGAAGGCGACUUUCUGGACCAAUACUGACGCUGAGGCGCGAAAGCGUGGGGAGUAAACAGGAUUAGAUAUCCUGGUAGUCCACAGCUGUAAACGAUGAUAACUAGGUAUAGGGGGUAUUUUGACCCCUCCUGUGCCGCAGCUAAUGUAUUAAGUUAUCCGCCUGGGGAGUACGGUCGCAAGAUUAAAACUCAAAGGAAUUGACGGGGGCCCGCACAAGCGGUGGAGUAUGUGGUUUAAUUCGAUGCAAUGUGCAGAAUUUUACCUGGUCUUGACAUCCCGGGAAUCUUUUGGAAACAAAAGAGUGCCUCUUAAUGGAGGAGCCUGGUGACAGGUGCUGCAUGGCUGUCGUCAGCUCGUGUCGUGAGAUGUUGGGUUAAGUCCCGCAACGAGCGCUACCCCUGCCUUUAGUUGCCAUCAUUAAGUUGGGCACUCUAGAGGGACUGCCGGUGUUAAACCGGAGGAAGGUGGGGAUGACGUCAAGUCCUCAUGGCCCUUAUGACCAGGGUUACACACGUACUACAAUGGCAGGUACAAAGGGCAGCGACCUUGUGAGGGGAAGCGAAUCCCAAAAAACCUGUCUCAGUUCGGAUUGGAGUCUGUAAUUUGACUCCAUGAAGUUGGAAUCGCUAGUAAUCGUGGAUUAGUAUGCCACGGUGAAUACGUUCCCGGGCCUUGUAUAUACCGCCCGUCACACCACGAAAGUCGGUUGUUUC